GCCGAUCACAGCCCUGAACAAAAGCAUCCGAUACACAUUUGUCAGUCUGGUGGCUUUGGUGCCAUGACUGCCUACACAGGCCAAUGACAGCCACUCGGUUGUCACCAGACACGGUGUGAGGGAAGGGGGAGGGGACAGGGGAACUCUCAGAGCAAACAAUCACAAACACACUGUGAAAUCGAAAAUAAAUUACAAAAACUAAAUAGUAUAAAUAAAUUAAAAUUUAAGUUAAGAAGAGUCCCACAGUGUGGCUGUUUGGCAACAACCAGUCCAUAGAAGAGGUAGCUGUGGAGGUCACAGGGAUGUUCCCAAGGCUCAGAAGAAAAGGCCAGGCAGCUUCUGAUCCCCGAGCAGUUGAGGAAGGCAGGCUUGCUCAGACCAAGUGACUGGAAGGCAUUUGGGCGUUUUUGCUGAGAAAUGUCUCUUUGUUCCUGUCUGUAUCCUUCUUUCUCCUUGACUCUUCAUAGUGGGUUCUCUGUUUCUCUGUGUGAUCCAGAUACCUGAACGGACUGUUCUCUCAUCUCAGUUCUCUUCAGGGAAUUUUGUCUGGUUCAAGAAGUCAUACCCCAGCCCAAGAGAAGCCUUGGACAUCUCUCAUAAGACAUCCAAGGGACAGAGCUCCUGGGAGACCUAGAGUGAGCUGGAGAGUGAACAACAUACCCCACUGGGAAGUAAGCAGCCCUGGAUUCUGCCUCUUGCUAACUGAUUCGUUUCGAACCCUGUUUUUCUAUCUGUAAAAGGGACUGUAACUCCCCUGCCCCUGCCUAGAUUCUCAUAUCUGGAGACUAGGGGGCUAAGACCCCUUCUAGAGAUAAAAAUAAAAGUCUUGAAGAGAAAGACCAAGAUGUUUGGCAGCCCUUUAAGAAGUUCUCUUUUCUCUUGGGGGCUUUUAGGCCACAAGAAAAGAUUGAUGUGGUCUAACCAUGGCCAGAGAGUGGUGAUACCCACAACGAAACUCAGACUCACGUGAUGCAGAGAACUGGUUGCAGAGAGCCAUGGUGCAGAGGAGGACAGCAAGGGCAGCAGUGGAGACCUGCAUGAUUCUGAGCAGGUGACGGAAUGUGGGCUCGAGUGUCAGCAGAGCCAAGAAAGGACUGACCACUGUCUGCUGCCCG
rnacentral:antisense_RNA from 1 species